UUAGCAUGGAAUAAUGGAAUAGGACGUGUGGUUUUAUUUUGUUGGUUUCUAGGACCGCCGUAAUGAUUAAUAGGGAUAGUCGGGGGCAUCAGUAUUCAAUUGUCAGAGGUGAAAUUCUUGGAUUUAUUGAAGACUAACUACUGCGAAAGCAUUUGCCAAGGAUGUUUUCAUUAAUCAGUGAACGAAAGUUAGGGGAUCGAAGACGAUCAGAUACCGUCGUAGUCUUAACCAUAAACUAUGCCGACUAGGGAUCGGGCGAUGUUAUCUUUUUGACUCGCUCGGCACCUUACGAGAAAUCAAAGUUUUUGGGUUCUGGGGGGAGUAUGGUCGCAAGGCUGAAACUUAAAGAAAUUGACGGAAGGGCACCACCAGGAGUGGAGCCUGCGGCUUAAUUUGACUCAACACGGGGAAACUCACCAGGUCCAGA
rnacentral:rRNA from 1 species